UUUGAGGUCUAACCUGCCCAAUGAUUUUAUUUAAUGGCCGCGGUAUUUUAACUGUGCUAAGGUAGCAUAAUCAUUUGUCUUUUAAUUGAGGGCUAGUAUGAAUGGUUGGACGAGACAUGGGCUUUCUUUAAUUUAAUUUGUGAAUUUAAUUUUUUAGUUAAAAAGCUAGAAUUUAUUUGUUGGACGAGAAGACCCUAUAGAUCUUUAUAUUUGUUUUUGAUUGAAUAAUUUGGUUAAUUUUUUAUUUGAAUUAGGAAAAAUAUUUGGUUGGGGUGACUAUAGAAUUUUAAUGACUUCUAUUUUUGUUUUUCAUUUAUGUAUGUUUUUUUGAUCCAUUAUUUAUGAUUAUAAGAUUAAGUUACCUUAGGGAUAACAGCGUAAUUUUUUUGGAGAGUUCAUAUCGAUAAAAGAGUUUGCGACCUCGAUGUUGGAUUAAAAUAAGUAAUAGAUG
rnacentral:rRNA from 1 species